AGGACCACAUCCAGCUGACCUAAAUUUGGCAGUGCCUCUUCAGUCGUUCCCUCCCUGAGCUUGGGUGAUGCAUCCAGCUCUCAGGGUGAAGGCAUGUUAGUGGUUCCUGUCUGAAAGCAGGGACCUGUAGCCACCUGAGCCACUUGUUGCUGGCUUCACCAGCAGCAGCCAGUAGCCCAGAUUCAGGGUGUGACUUGGAAUCGUGCUGUAGGAGCUCUUGAAUGCUACCUCCAGAGACAAAUCAUCUCCCUUUCCUGGGUGGUGGAAGGAUGCUUCGGUGCAGAGAAGUGUGUUGCUGACCAGACCUCCUCCAGAACCUGACCUGCUUCCCAGAGGGUUUCUCUGGGGGCAGAAGAUCUGGAAGCCAACAGAUAAUCUUAGCAAGAUGGAGAAAUUGUGAGGACACGCUCUAGGACCUUGAUAAGGUCGGGGUGCUGCCAAGACUGGAGUCACAGCUCCUGUCCUCCCUCCGUUAGCCCUUCUGUUCUGACGACUGAGCUGCUGUUGAGCAACAUUUGUGACACCAUUUCCACUUGUGAUUACUAUUUGGUUGCAGACCUGGCCAGCGAGUGCCACUGCUCAUUCCUAAUGCCAGCACCUUUAUUUCCUGUCCCUGAAACCUGAGCAAAUGAGGGGGUAGGAGAGAAGAAACAGGCGGAUGGUGCUCCUUGGGGAACCCAAUUUGCCAAGUGUUGAAGAAGUGCUGUGCUGAUGGUGGGGGGCUGGCCUUAAGCUGGUAAGCAACAGAGUGCAACUUGAUAUUUUGUAACAUGUGCCAUAAAAAACAUACCCUGGAAUUCCCUGGAUUUCAGUUGUCAAGGUAUUUCAGAGGAACUACUACAAGUCCUGAAAGGACAUGCAGAGCGUAAUUAUGAAUGCUUUCCUUCCUGAAUGACCAUAGAGGUUAUAAAUAAAAAAAAACAUAGUACAAUAGAUUAUUCUGUCUGUUGUGUUGUCAAAGUCACGGUUCACACAUUGUCAUUCGCAGCACUUAUCCAGAUUGAUUCUGAUGUCUCGAGAAGCUGGAUUUUACUACCUUAUGUACUCAGAUC